rnacentral:ncRNA from 1 species
AUUAAUAUAUAACCUUAUAAGUACAGUCAACUCAAAACGGGUAUAGACAAGGGUAAUCUAAUUGUUUAAUUAAAACAAAGCAUUGUGAUGGUCCCUGUGGAUGCUGACACAAUGUGAUUUAUGCCUAGUUCUUUGCAUGUCAAAGUGAACAAAUUCAACCAAGCACGGGUAAACAACAAGAGUAACUAUGACUCUCUAAAGGUAGCCAAAUGCCUCAUCAUAUAAUUAGUGACACACAUGAAUAGAUUAACAAGAUUCCCACUAUUCCUUUCUACUAUCUAUAUAAACCACAACCAAGGGAAUGGGAUUGAAAAAAACAAUGGGGAAAGAAGACCUUGUUGAUCUUGACUCUAGUCCGACUUUGUGAAAUGACAUGAGAGGUGUAGAAUAAGUGGGAGUUGUUUUUGGCACAAGUGAAAUACCACUACUUUUAACGUUAUUUUACUUAUUACGUGGGUUGGAGACAGAGCAUUGCCCCUAUUUUUGGCCAUAUGACAUGUUUCAACGGGUUGAUCUAGGAAAAAUACAUUGUCAGGUGGGCAAUUUGGCUGGGGUGGCACAUUUGUUAAAAUAUAACACGUGUCCUAAGAUGAGAUCAAUGAGAACAUAAAUAUCAUGUGGAACAAAAGGGUAAAAUCUCAAUUGAUUUUCCACCAACCUCUUGAUCCUUAUAAUUCAUUGAUGGAUAUGAAUUAAUACAUCAAUUAGAUGUUUGAAUGCAUCAACAUAGUUAAUUUAAAAUACUAAUUGCUUGAGAAAGUUUAAUUGACUAAUGGCACAUCUGGAGGAAUGGU